AAUGAAACAGCUCGGGGCUGGAUCAGUGGGGACGGGAUCAUGAUGCAGCCGUGCCGUUCAUAAACUGCUGCAGCCCUGCCCGCCCCGAGGAGGAAGAACGAGGAGGAGGAGGAGGAGGAGGAAGCAGCAGCAAUCAGCCCAUUCAUGCGUGUCGGCUGGCCACAGGCGGACCCCCCGCGGGGAGGCAGAUGCACAGCUGUCAGCGCCUGAUACAGCUGCAGUGGCGCAUGGCAACCGCAGCUCCAACCGGUCUGGAAGAGUGGAAGACGGAGGCUGGUGGAGGAAGAGACCUGUGGCACCUGCACGGCGCAGAGAGAGAGCAGGUGCAUGGGGUUGAAAAUCGAUGGCUGGGGGAGCGAGGGGAUGUGGAGAGCAGUAAAUUAGAGGACUGAGGAAGAAGUGGAGGAGGAGGAGGAGGAGGAGGAGGAGGGGAACUCAGUAAUCUGUAGCUGGGUGGAGGAGAGAGUGAUGGACUGUGUGGGGUCAGGACCUGGUCACUGAGGUGGAGCCUUCAGACUUUGUGCCCUUGACCGGAGGAGUUGACGUUAGAACCGCCCGGUCCAGUUUCCGCUGGACCACAGUGUCCUGGAGGCUCCGGUUUGUUCUCAGUCAGUGUGAAGAAGAAGAAGAAGAAGAAGUCGGGUCGGAGAUAAAUUUAGUUUCAGCCUACAUCAGGCUGAUAAAUGGCACAACAGGACUGGAAGGAGGCCCGGUUUUAUUUUGUUUCUGCCUCAAACAGUGAAGAAAUCAUUACAGGUGACCCACUUCAUGCAAACUUUUUAACAGAGAUGGAAGUUUAAGAUAUUUACUGUAAACCAACUUGAGUCGACUGUUCCUGUGAGCAGACGGUGAGAAUAAAGAGUCCUGAUGUUUCCUC